rnacentral:tmRNA from 1 species
GGGAGUGACUUGGCUUCGACAGGAGCAGGUUUGGCUUGAUUGCAUGCCGCUUUGAACAGAGCGCAAAAAGUUCAUUAAAUUUAGACGCAAAUAACAAAAAUUUCGCUCCCGCUUACGCUAAAAUCGCGUAAGUUUUAUCCUUAAAGGGAGGCUUUGCACCGUGGAUGCUAUCUAAACGGAUUUCGCAAGGCUCAAAAAAUAGAUAGCUUGAUUUGGCACGCGGCUGACGCCAAAUUGAAAUUUAAGCCUGCGUUUUUGCGUAGUUUUCGCGGAUUGAGUGAAGCAAAAGCAAAGAUUAAAUCAAUCCUUCUAAGCAUGUAGAUAUCAAAUCGGGGCUGUUUUUGGACAGGGGUUCAAUUCCCCUCACUUCCACCA